rnacentral:tRNA from 1 species
GCUGGUGUGUCGGAAUUGGCAGACGAGACAGACUCAAAAUCUGUUGUUCCUUGGAGCGUGUGGGUUCAAGUCCCACCACCAGCACCA